rnacentral:rRNA from 1 species
CGAUUGUAGUCAUAUGCUUGUCUCAAAGAUUAAGCCAUGCAUGUCUAAGUAUAAGCAAUUAUACCGCGAAACUGCGAAUGGCUCAUUAUAUAAGUUAUCGUUUAUUUGAUAGCACAUUUACCUACUUGGAUAACCGUGGUAAUUCUAGAGCUAAUACAUGCUAAAAAUCCCGACUUCGGAAGGGAUGUAUUUAUUAGAUUAAAAGCCAACGCCCUUCGGGGCUUCUUGGUGAUUCAUGAUAACUGGUCGAAUCGCAUGGCCUUGCGCCGGCGAUGGUUCAUUCAAAUUUCUUCCCUAUCAACUUUCGAUGCGAAGGUCUUGUCUUCGCAUGGUUGCAACGGGUAACGGAGGGUUAGGGCUCGACCCCGGAGAAGGAGCCUGAGAAACGGCUACUACAUCCAAGGAAGGCAGCAGGCGCGCAAAUUACCCAAUCCCGACACGGGGAGGUAGUGACAAUAAAUACUGAUACAGGGCUCUUUUGGGUCUUGUAAUCGGAAUGAGUACAAUUUAAAUCCCUUAACGAGGAACAAUUGGAGGGCAAGUCUGGA